UGGCUCUGUACCUAUUCCUCCUUUUUCCUUUGACAAUCUACUGGGCCACUGUGCUACUAACUCUUGUUUACAAAAAAAGAAAAGAAAAACUAAUUCCAAUUUUAAUCACCUCAUUCCCCACACCCUCCUUUUCCUCACGGUGGUACCUAACCUGUGCAUUCGCUAAAAGAAUUAAGCAACCUAGGAAAUACAGAACUAACGAAUCAUUGGAAUGCAAUUGAUAGCGUGGAAGCCCCUCACUUCAGUGUUUGUGUCCUUAAUGUGGGAAUGAUUUAGCUGCAGGGCAUUCUGAAGACUGUCUUCCCGGCCAGCCAGAUAAGCAAGGGACUUUCUCUGUAUCAUGAAUCAAGCUUGGCUCCUGUGAAAUUCCCUAGAACGUGGAUUUUUUUUCCCAUUCCCCUCUCUUCUCGCCCCUAAAAACCUUUCUUCUGGGUCUUUCUGUGGUCUUCUCCGCUUCUUUCGUAAUCGCCUUGACCUUGGAUUUACCCAAGCUCUUGCGUUCUGGAUGUCAUCCCGAAGGUCCAACCUGUGUGCACUCCUCUCUCUCUGCCUUACAGCCACCUCUCCACCACCAGCAGCAAGUCAGAGUGGCUGGUCGGGGAACAGGAACCUCACAGAGGCACACCCUGACAGGCUUUCCCAUUGCCACACCUAGGAAGGUAAAUCCAGCCUCAGGUGGUUGAUGCAGGAUGUUAGAUACAGAUGCCUAGAAACACCCCAUGGGUACAUCUUAGAGAGACUGAGUCACAUGCCAUGAGUUUGCCUCAUGACUAGUCCUGUAGUAUGGAGGGAAGUCUUUCUCCACUCCACCACCUCCGCCUUUCUGAGCUUCCUUCUGACUCGCCUUGUAUCUACCCCCUUAGAAUCAUCAUGAUCUUGAGAAAGUCAUUUCCUUCAAAAGAGGCAGAGCAUGUACAAUGAUUGCUGAUGGUCCGGGGAGAGCCAGAGGGGGCUGCCUCCACCCAGGCCUGGGAGCGCAGUCAGGAAAUGGUUCCUAAGGUCAGCCUCAAACAAUGUCUGAGUCUCCUGUGAAAUAUCCAUGAUUGUUUACUGUGGAAUUCAAGUGAAACUUCAAAUUACACAAUGCUCAGCUGGCACAGGUCGCUCACAGAGAGCCAUGCAUGCCACAGCAAAGAAGGAGAGCAUUCCUUUUUUUUUUUUUUUUCUUAAAAGCUGAAACAGAGCAGGGACAUGGUGCUUUACAAUGCACAGUGACCCAGCCAGGCAUGUCAUCAAAGUUCUGGUCACUUCUACCUUUGCUGUACAGUCUGCAGUUUGUCAUUCAGUAUUUAAAGUUCAGGAGACAAAGACUAAGUCAGAUCUAUCUCUCCUUUGUGAUCAGUGUUUCUCAUAAUGAAGACAAGAGAGGCUGGUCUCCAUUGCAUUCCCCCCAGUGGAUAGAAGUGAGACAAUCAGGGCAUCCUUCAUCACUCUUCUCAUAUUUGGCAAUCUCUCUGAAGACAUCUCCAUCUCUUCCUUGCUUCUCUAACUUUAGACUCAUAGCACAUGCAAAUAUCUAACUCUGUGCACCCUGCGAAUGAACCAUAUCCUGAUCACUGUCAUAUUUCACAACAUAUCAUGAGUGAAUAAUUAUGUUUUUUCCAGGGUAAAUGAAUGUGAGCCAGUUGCCUAAAUUAAUAAAGAAAACUUGUUCUCAGCAAUUAUGGUUGCCUUUGGGGGUUAAAUUUGACCAUAUACUAGUAAAAACAAUUUCUCCUUGAGAGAGGUGACCAUCUCAAAAUCCACCACAGGAAAAACAGCCCACUGUAUAUGUACCAGCAUGCAACUGUCACUGACGUCCUUUCUCUCAUCCUGUUACGUGCAGUCAGUUACGAGUGAGUAGAUUUUCCAUGGCAACGGUUUCUUCUACCAGAGGUGGUUUUCCAGUUCCCGUUUCCUUUGCGCUCCUCUUUCCUUGUUUGUCCUGAGAAAUUGACUAGAGUUGCUGCCUCUUCCCCAUCUUACUCUGCUCUUCAGACCCCCUGUGUGAUUCAGAGAUGUGAACACGCAAAAUACACGCAGCAUUGCCCCUUCGAUGUUCUCAUCACAUAACGUUACCUCUAAAAGGGAAAAUCAUUGCCCCAGUUCCCCUCUCGUCCGUUGUGUCUCACAAAGAUGGGAAGACCAACAAAAAUGCUUCUUGAUAUUACAACAAUGUGAGGAGUUACAUUUAACUAAGUCUAUAGCUUGGGUAAGAAGGAUCAGGUCAGUAUGAGUUGGUUUAGUGAAGAGAUGAGCUAGAAGGAUUGCAUAGUUAGCACUAUGUCUUUAACUGGUGGGUUGCUGUACCAAUUGGUUGCAGAUCUCCACAGCGUGUUCAUUGCACUAAAAUGCUACUAGGAACCAAACACUAAGGCCGUCAUCUCUAUAUCUCUAAGAAGGGAAGUUAGGCCAGGCUGUAGUCUCACAGUGUGGCCUGUGUAGGGUUGCAUGCUACUCUCUAAGACAUUCAGACAUAGUUUCUGUGCGGUGUUAGGUUUGUGCUUUUUUUUUUCUAUCUUCUUGCCUGCCAUCUUCCAGCCAAUGUGUGGUUAUCCAGUCUGUGUGCCAAAGUCAGCCAUAUCUCCCACGACCUGUUAGUCCAGAGGAGUUCUGCACCGACGCUAGUUGCCAGCUGCCUGCUCCUAAUGUACACCAGUCAAGACAGAAUAAAAUGUGAGUUGUACCG
rnacentral:lncRNA from 1 species